rnacentral:rRNA from 1 species
UACGUAGGGCGCAAGCGUUGUCCGGAUUUACUGGGCGUAAAGAGCGCGUAGGCGGUCGUUCAAGUCGAGUGUGAAAGCCCCCGGCUCAACUGGGGAGGGUCAUUCGAUACUGCUCGACUUGAAGGCAGGAGAGGGAAGUGGAAUUCCCGGUGUAGUGGUGAAAUGCGUAGAUAUCGGGAGGAACACCAGUGGCGAAGGCGACUUCCUGGCCUGUUAUUGACGCUGAGGCGCGAAAGCUAGGGGAGCAAACGGG